rnacentral:rRNA from 1 species
GACGAACUCUGGCGGCGUGCUUAACACAUGCAAGUCGAACGGUAAGGCUCCAGCUUGCUGGGGUACACGAGUGGCGAACGGGUGAGUAACACGUGGGUGACCUGCCCUGCACUUCGGGAUAAGCCUGGGAAACUGGGUCUAAUACCGGAUAGGACCGCACCGUGAGGGUGUGGUGGAAAGUUUUUUCGGUGUGGGAUGGGCCCGCGGCCUAUCAGCUUGUUGGUGGGGUAAUGGCCUACCAAGGCGGCGACGGGUAGCCGGCCUGAGAGGGUGGACGGCCACAUUGGGACUGAGACACGGCCCAGACUCCUACGGGAGGCAGCAGUGGGGAAUAUUGCACAAUGGGCGGAAGCCUGAUGCAGCGACGCCGCGUGGGGGGUGACGGCCUUCGGGUUGUAAACUCCUUUCACCAUCGACGAAGGGUUUCUGACGGUAGAUGGAGAAGAAGCACCGGCUAACUACGUGCCAGCAGCCGCGGUAAUACGUAGGGUGCGAGCGUUGUCCGGAAUUACUGGGCGUAAAGAGCUCGUAGGUGGUUUGUCGCGUCGUCUGUGAAAUUCCGGGGCUUAACUCCGGGCGUGCAGGCGAUACGGGCAUAACUUGAGUACUGUAGGGGAGACUGGAAUUCCUGGUGUAGCGGUGAAAUGCGCAGAUAUCAGGAGGAACACCGGUGGCGAAGGCGGGUCUCUGGGCAGUAACUGACGCUGAGGAGCGAAAGCAUGGGGAGCGAACAGGAUUAGAUACCCUGGUAGUCCAUGCCGUAAACGGUGGGCGCUAGGUGUGGGUUUCCUUCCACGGGAUCCGUGCCGUAGCUAACGCAUUAAGCGCCCCGCCUGGGGAGUACGGCCGCAAGGCUAAAACUCAAAGGAAUUGACGGGGGCCCGCACAAGCGGCGGAGCAUGUGGAUUAAUUCGAUGCAACGCGAAGAACCUUACCUGGGCUUGACAUAUACAGGAUCGCGCCAGAGAUGGUGUUUCCCUUGUGGCUUGUAUACAGGUGGUGCAUGGUUGUCGUCAGCUCGUGUCGUGAGAUGUUGGGUUAAGUCCCGCAACGAGCGCAACCCUUGUCUUAUGUUGCCAGCACGUUGUGGUGGGGACUCGUAAGAAACUGCCGGGGUUAACUCGGAGGAAGGUGGGGAUGACGUCAAAUCAUCAUGCCCCUUAUGUCCAGGGCUUCACACAUGCUACAAUGGUCGGUACAGUGGGUUGCCAGUCCGUGAGGGCGAGCUAAUCCCGCAAAGCCGGUCUCAGUUCGGAUCGGGGUCUGCAACUCGACCCCGUGAAGUCGGAGUCGCUAGUAAUCGCAGAUCAGCAACGCUGCGGUGAAUACGUUCCCGGGCCU